GUGCCAGCAGCCGCGGUAAUACAGGGGGGGCAAGCGUUGUUCGGAAUUACUGGGCGUAAAGGGUCUGUAGGUGGCUUGCUAAGUCAGACGUGAAAUCCCUCAGCUUAACUGGGGAACUGCGUCUGAUACUGGCAAGCUUGAGUGCAGGAGAGGAACGCGGAAUUCCAGGUGUAGCGGUGAAAUGCGUAGAUAUCUGGAGGAACACCGGUGGCGAAGGCGGCGUUCUGGACUGCAACUGACACUGAGAGACGAAAGCCAGGGGAGCAAACGGGAUUAGAUACCCCCGUAGUCC
rnacentral:rRNA from 1 species